ACCCGAGCCGUUUGUAACAAGGC
rnacentral:miRNA from 9 species